rnacentral:lncRNA from 1 species
UCUUUACUAAACCUCCCAACAAGUCGACGCAAGCACCUAACUUCAGCGUGUCUAUUGGACAUGUCGCCUUCCCGCCCCCUGAUGGUGGCUUUACGCUCCCUGGCGGUGGAGGACAGUCCUUCCCUCCUGUGGCUGGUGGGGUUGUUCCCGGUGGAAGAAUAGGACCUACAAUUGGCAAAGGCGGCAAUGGCAGAUUGGGACCUACCACUGGAGGUAUGGGUAGCCCUGAAAUCGGAGGAAGGGGUAGCUUAGGGACGGUCACUGGAGGAACGGGUAGCUUAGGUACAGUUACCGGGGGAACGGGUAGCUUAGGGACUGUCACUGGAGGAACGGGUAGCUUGGGGACGGUCACUGGAGGAACGGGUAGCUUGGGGACGGUCACAGGAGGAACGGGUAGCUUAGGUACAGUCACUGGUGGAACGGGUAGCUUAGGGAUGGUCACAGGAGGAACGGGUAGCUUAGGGACGGUCACCGGAGGGACUGGUAGCUUAGGGACGGUCACCGGAGGAACUGGUAGCUUAGGGACGGUCACCGGAGGAACUGGUAGCUUAGGGGCUUUAGGGGAGUGCUUUCCGCCCUUCCGUGGGUUGCAAGAGCCGCAUGCGAGAGAAUGUUGGGGGAGAUAGAUAAUGCAAAUGAGGAAGAGGCAAAGAGAGAGAGAUGAGAGUUUGGAGGAGUCCAUGUUGAGUAGAGUGGAUGGUGUAACUAUACGAAAGAGUAUAUGAAUAUAUAGAGGGAAAAUGAGAAGAAGAAUUCACGUGAAGAUGGGGGCUACUUCUGCAAUAAGAAGAGACGCCCCAAAAUAAGCAUGGUUGGCAAUUAUCAUAAGAAUACAAGAUUUCCUUGAUGACCCAUCGCUAUAUAUCAUCACAUGUCGACCACACUUUUUUCACUUUUUUUUUUCUAAGUGCCUCUUGUUCUUGGGUUAACUACAACUUUUAACAACGUGUAACUUCAGUUUCAACAGUACAGUACAUUUAACUUGUAGGAAUUGUAAUGAAUCAACUUAGCGAGACUAGGUCAUUAUGAGAUAUCAUCAAUACUAAAUAACAUUUUGAUGAUGUAAACACUCUAGGAAAAGCAGAUAAUAUAGUAUCAUAUGGUUUUCGCUUUAGUGUGUGGCUUCAUAAGCAUCUCCAUGCAUGAGUCGACUGCUAAGGAACAUAUAGAUCUGCACCAUAGUGAAGACGGCUUAGUCUAUUCAAAACACUAAUGUUGUGCCUUUCGAGGACCUCCCGAGACUCGAAUUCGAAUGCACUCUCCAAAGGUAUUAUGUUAGGGAAAAAACCUUAUUAAACCAAAUAUGUUACUGUUUAACCCAUACACGAAAAUUAGAUAUAUAAAUGUUGAACAAAUAGCAUAUAGUUAUAUCCAAUAUAUACGUACAUGAGAGGUAAAGAAGACAGCAAGACUGACAUGUGAAAUUCGGGAUACACUUUUGUUGUUUGGUGAUUUUGUUACGUAGUGUCAUUAAAGAAACGAUCAUGUGUGCGUGGACCAUCUUCUUCUUUUUACCGCUCAUUUCCCUUUUUACCAUAUCUACUACAAAAGAGUCCGAACUGACCAUUUAAUGAACGAGUACCAUUCAAUUCAUAAACUCCCCGUAUCAAUCUAACUGACACUGUAAAAGUUAUAAUGUUAAUAUAUAAAAAUAAUAUGGUUAUUUAGCAUGAAUAAUAACUUUUUAUAAUUGAGAGUAUGUCUAGCUAACAUUGGUGAUUGGUGCUUACAUAAAUCAUAUUUUUCAAACCACUUAACAAGAACUUUACAUAUUCAAUGAUAAACGAAUCACAUUUAUACAAUAUACCAUUCAAAAAUAAUAUUGUAAGAUGAUUUGAAAUUAAACGAUUGUAAUAUAUAAUGUGUUAAAAGUAAUGUAUUAUAGAUAUCUUGUAAUUAUUUAAAGGGUUUUGUGCAAAAAAAAAAACCACUAACUCAUACAUUUUUCCAAUUUACUAUCCAGCUCUAAUAAAUGCACAUUAAUCCUAUGAAUCUAAAAUAAUACGCAUUGUAACCCUUUUUGACCAUUUUUUGCUACCAUCAAUUUUGUAAAAUAUUGAUAUAUAAUAUGUUAAAUCAAAGCUCUCGCGACCAAGAGUUCAACUCUACCUUUAAAAAUUUUAAAAUGUAAUGUAUGUAACCGUAAAAACGCUUGUAAUAUGCAUAUGAAAUUUAUAUUACAUAUUAUGUUAAACUUCAUAAGAUUAAUCUGCAUUUGUUGGUAGUGCAUUUGUUAGAGGUGGAAGGUAAUGUUGCAAAAAUAGAUGAGUUAAAAGAUUUCUUUUUGCACAAAACCCUUUAUUUAAACUACUAACAAUAUAAUAUAUAAAUAAUUUAAAACAUAUAUCUCUAUAAUUCAUGAAGUAAUAAUGGUGUACCCUAUCCUUACCAACGAAUAAUAAAGAAAUGAUAUUAACUCUGAUUCAAAAGCUAUAUAUAAGAUAUUCUUUUUUUUUCCUCGGGAGGGAUACGAAUCCGGUAACAUGAAUCAGUGUCCAAUAAGAGCCAGUGGUCGUAAAUUCCAAAUGACAGAUGGAUGACUCAUUUUAAUUCGUAACUUUUGUCAGCUGCGAUAUAUGCUAAUGAAACCUGAGGUGCUAGAUUUUGAUUUUAAUGGCUUUAGAUUCUUACUCAACACUCAAUGGCCCACUCGUUAAUCUCUUACCUUCUAAAGUGAGUUAUGAUCCACUGCUUCUUUCUUCUUGUAGAUAGAUGGACCUGUUUUUUUUAGGUUGUGAUUUGUGGACAUUAAUCAACAACCCAUGUUUAUACGUGAUAAUGUCUGGAGCUAUAUGUAAAGGCGAUAUGGAGGACAACAUUCCUCUAUUCUAACUUUAAAAGCCAUGUAGUUAGGGCUGGACACCAAUAUUCUUUUUUUUUUUGCUAAAUUGUAAAUAUCAUUUUGAUGAAAAAUCAGGUUUUACAACAGUUGUAUAACCUAAAACAUUUGAACUCUUUGGCAAAAAAGAAUAAAAAAACGAAGAGCCAAUCGAGAGCUGCAUAGAACUCGGUAGUUUCAUAGCAGCCACAACGCUAUUAACUUGCGAAAAAGGAGUCUGUUUCUUCUUGAGGUGAUAACGUUUUUGAUUUUGCGGUUGAUGCACUUGAAUAUAGAAUGCGGAGAGAGGGAAGUAGCGUUGUGCAGGACAUUGUUAGGCUGCUUCAAGAUGUGGAAGACCUUAGACUGAACGACAAUAAUUUUAAGAACUGAUGAAGCCAAUAUUCAUCAUUUUCAAACAAAAAAUAUCUUUUGUUUGACACCAAUAUCCUUGACCAGCUUCAAACAAAGGAUAUACAUCAUUUUUAAGUCGGGUAAGGCAAAUGAGUAUAAGGAUUCUCAUUACACAU